AAGAGAAGAGGAAGAGGAAGAGGAAGAGGAAGAGAGGAUACCACAAGUCCAGUCUGGCAAGCCUUGAAGUCUGCAGUCACAGAAGCUCCAAGCUGGGGGAUCAGCCAGCAGACCCAGGGACGGCCCUAUUCAGUGAUGACCUGGUUCAGGAGCUCGCAGGUGGAGGAGAUGUUGGAAAGGACAGACUCACAGCACUGGAUCCGGGCCUAAGAGACACCGUGACCCCGCGCAGAGCCGGCCCCACAUUAUUCCUUCUUAGGAUGUUUUUGUGGUGCUCAUUUUCCUGAUUAUAGAAAUCGCACGUUUCCGGAUUACUAAAAGAUGGUCACUGCGAUUACACGGUUACACUGAGACGGCCACCCACAAUUUGAGAUGGCAAGUACCAUCCUUCUCCCUUCCGCCUC
rnacentral:sRNA from 1 species